rnacentral:rRNA from 1 species
UACGGAGGGUGCAAGCGUUAAUCGGAAUUACUGGGCGUAAAGCGCACGCAGGCGGUUUGAUAAGUUAGAAGUGAAAGCCCCGGGCUCAACCUGGGAAUUGCAUUUAAAACUGGCAAGCUAGAGUCGUGUAGAGGGAGGUAGAAUGCCACGUGUAGCGGUGAAAUGCGUAGAGAUCUGGAGGAAUACCGGUGGCGAAGGCGGCCCCCUGGACAAAGACUGACGCUCAGGUGCGAAAGCGUGGGGAGCAAACAGG